rnacentral:rRNA from 1 species
AGAGUUUUGAUCCUGGCUCAGAGUGAACGCUGGCGGUAGGCCUAACACAUGCAAGUCGAACGGCAGCACAGUAAGAGCUUGCUCUUAUGGGUGGCGAGUGGCGGACGGGUGAGGAAUACAUCGGAAUCUACUUUUUCGUGGGGGAUAACGUAGGGAAACUUACGCUAAUACCGCAUACGACCUUCGGGUGAAAGCAGGGGACCUUCGGGCCUUGCGCGAUUGAAUGAGCCGAUGUCGGAUUAGCUAGUUGGCGGGGUAAAGGCCCACCAAGGCGACGAUCCGUAGCUGGUCUGAGAGGAUGAUCAGCCACACUGGAACUGAGACACGGUCCAGACUCCUACGGGAGGCAGCAGUGGGGAAUAUUGGACAAUGGGCGCAAGCCUGAUCCAGCCAUACCGCGUGGNGUGAAGAAGGCCUUCGGGUUGUAAAGCCCUUUUGUUGGGAAAGAAAAGCAGCGGGCUAAUACCUUGCUGUUCUGACGGUACCCAAAGAAUAAGCACCGGCUAACUUCGUGCCAGCAGCCGCGGUAAUACGAAGGGUGCAAGCGUUACUCGGAAUUACUGGGCGUAAAGCGUGCGUAGGUGGUUGUUUAAGUCUGUUGGAAAGCCCUGGGCCUCAAC